rnacentral:rRNA from 1 species
CAUGAGUGGCGGACGGGUGAGUAACGCGUGGGCAACCUGGCCUGUACAGGGGGAUAACACUUAGAAAUAGGUGCUAAUACCGCAUAACGGGGGAAGCCGCAUGGCUUUUCCCUGAAAACUCCGGUGGUACAGGAUGGGCCCGCGUCUGAUUAGCCAGUUGGCAGGGUAACGGCCUACCAAAGCGACGAUCAGUAGCCGGCCUGAGAGGGCGGACGGCCACACUGGGACUGAGACACGGUCCAAACUCCUACGGAAGGCAGCAG